rnacentral:tRNA from 1 species
GGAGACGUGCCCGAGCGGCUGAAGGGGCUCCCCUGCUAAGGGAGUAUGUGGCUAAAAACUGCAUCCAGGGUUCGAAUCCCUGCGUCUCCG